AGUCAGCACAUCCAAAAUGGAUUUUUUUUUAUGUCUUUUUUUUUGAGACAGAGUCUCACUCAGUUGCUCAGGCUGGAGUGCAGAGGUGCGAUCUCGGCUCACUGCAACCUCCACCUCAAGCGAUUCUGGUGCCUCAGCCUCCUGGGUAGCUGGGACCACUGGCAUGAGCCACCAUGCCUGGUUAAUUGUGUGUGUGUGUGUGUGUGUGUAUUUUCAGUAGAGAUGGGGUUUCACCAUGUUGCCCAGGCUGGUCUGGAACUCCUGGCCUCAAGUGAUCUGUCCCCACCGUGGCCUCCUUAAGUCCUGGGAUUACAGGUGUGAGCCACCGUGCCCAGUACCCAAGUGGAUUUCAUAAUUUAUUCCCAAAUCUAUUUCUUCUCCUCUGUGCCUAGAAAAGUCAAUGGCACCAUUAACCUCAAACUUAACCAGGUCAGAAUUUUUGUGUCUCCUCCCCCUUUUCUCUAGCUGCCAAUCCCAGUGACCCAUCAGUUUUAUUCAUGAGGCUAUUCCCGAUCUCAUGCUAUACACCAGGCCUUCAUUAUCACUUGCUUCAACCACAGGUGAUCCUCAGUGAUAUAGUCUGAUUUUAAAUUUACAUUUUCAAACAUUGUAGUUUACUCUUUCAAAUCAUUUUUUUUUUUCAUAUGCCAAGUUGGGACUUGAAAGUCUUUUUUUUUUAGACAGAGUCUCACUCUGUCCCCCAGGCUGGAGUGCAGUGACACAGUCUCGGCUCACUGCAACCUUCACCUUCACCUCCUGGGUUCAAGCGAUUUUCCCGCCUCAGCCUCCCAAGUAGCUGGGAGUACAGGCACCCACCACGCCAUCAGGCUAAUUUUUGUACUUUUAGUAGAGGCGGGGUUUCACCGUAUUGGUCAGGCUGGUUUCGAACUCCUGACCUCAAAUAAUCCACCCACCUUGGCCUCCCAAAUGCUGGGAUUAUAGGAGUGAGCCAUGGCGCCUGGCCUUAAAAGUCUUAUAUCACUUUUUCACAUGACAAGUUUAGAUUUCAUAAUCAGCUGAUGAAUAAAUACUUUCAGUCCAUGCACAGUCUGUGCCAUCUGAUACCUCUGUUUCAGCAAAGUAAUCACUUCUAUCUAUAAAGCAUUGUUUGUGCAAUAUUUUAAUAGGAUUAAUAGGCUCAAAUGAACCACAGAUCUGUCAACUGCACUUGCAGUCUGGCCACUCUUGUAACAAAUAUUCAUUUCAUUAAGCACCUUUAAUAUGACAAAUGAUGUGCUAAGUACCAAGUACUUUGUCAUAGUGACAAAGCAGACACUCUUACCCUCAUGGAAUUUGUACUAUAUAUUGUGGGUAAAAAGGGAUCCAAUAAAUAAACUCCCCAAAAAUAUAUGGCUGGUGUUAUUUAUCUUGAUAGGUGUUAGUACAUAGUCUUAAUAAUUAUCAAUAAUAUAUUACUAUAUGUAUUUAACAUAUUGUACUGUAGGCCCAAUAUCUUUCAGUGCAAAAAUACUCAGCUGAAAUACGUUUUUCAUUUCAAAUACUUAUCUAUAUUGAUUACAACAUUUAAUUUAGUGUUUUACUUUCCAUUUCCAAAUAUUCUUUCAUCAAUAUUAUCUGUUCUUUUCAUCAUAAAUAUAUUUAUUUCAUCUAUUAGUAUUUUCUAUAAUCUAUAUUUUAAGUCAUUUCAGCUCUUUUUAUAUUUCUUAAACCUUUUAAAAGCAUAAUUGUAUGCUGAAAGUGGGUGAGGUUUUAAAACUAAGUGCCUAAGACAUAAUAUAAAUACUUUAUUGUUCUCUACUACAUUAAAAAGUGGUAACCUAUUUAAUUCACAUGCCAUGGUCAAAUUUUAAUUUCAAUAAUAUGACACAAAUAAAUACUCAGAAAUGCUGACAAAUCUUAUCACCUGUGAAACUCAAAUGUUUUCAGGGGUCAUGAAGAUAGCAUACUUGUCUCAUCCAAUGACUUUCAAAUUCAUCCUUCUUUAAAAUGUUGUGCUGGACUUUGGAGACACAAAUGUGGCCUUCCAGAGUGACAGGCCUUAUAACAAUCCUUGUAACAAUUACUACUUUAUUUUUACCUGUUAAUAUUUAUAUAUUAAUAAACCCAACUGAACCUAAGAGAAUAUCUAAGACAAGUACAUUUGUGUAUGUGUGUGCCUUCAUGUAUGUGAUUUUUAUAUACAUGAUGAACUGUCUUAAUUAUAAAGAAAAGGAAAAAAACAUGAUGCUAUGAGAAAAAAAUGAACAUUCAACUGAGCAGAGCAGAAGAUAUUUUUAUAUUUCCUGAUACAAAAAUCUAACUUCAGUUCCCGUCUGGCAGAGAGCGCGGAGAGACGCAGAACGCAGCCCGCUCCUCCAGGGCCCUCCAGGCCCUCCGGACCCGGGCCGGCGGGUGAACUGGGGGGCCCCGGGACAGGCCGAGGCCUCUGCCCUGCAGACACCGGAGGCCGCUGCUGUGGCUGCCCACUGGCUGUGCCCAGGCCUUGAAGCCGCAGCGAACCUCUCUUUCCCACCCCACCUGGAUGACUGAUGGCGGCGGCUGCGUCUCCCCGACGGGACCCCGCCGGCCGCCGGGUCUCCCGACCCAAGCCUGCCGGGCCUCGACGAAACCCCCGCAGAGUCGCUGGGACGCAGCGCCUUUGGGCGGCGCCGGGCGUGGUGGGCCGGAAAGUAUGGCGGCCGCUUGAACGCCGCGCGGCGGAGGCCAUUAAGGCGUGGAGGGCCCGGGAAGGCGGCCUAGGGACGCAAGCAGGCUCGGCCGCCUCUUUAGGCCACGGAGCUGCGCAGAUCCGGUUCCCGGGUGACCACUCUGUCGCCAUUGGGCGAGACCUACCUAGUCCUGACGACAACGGACAAAGGCCUUAAGGGGCCUGGAAGGGAUAUGAUAUUGAAGCACGUGACAAGUUGGUGAUUUCAGCAGUGGUUUCUCCUGUCUAUAGAAACUCUUCAGCAGAUGGCAAUUUUCCACCUUCCUGUAUAAAACCAGAAUCCUCUCACCUGGCAGAAAUCUUUCUCUCCAGAUGCUGCAAAGCCAGCACAGAUCAUCUUCUCUGUGAUCCCUCCUGGAUGGGCAGAAUAAAAGAAGAGGGGCUGAAGCGGAUGCUGCUUGAUAUCAUUUACAUGACCUAUUUUCAAAAAUAACAACUGGCAUUAAUGUUUAUGCAACAAAAAUAUGCUUACCUGCACU